GUAGGUGGCAAGCGUUGUCCGGAAUUAUUGGGCGUAAAGCGCGCGCGGGCGGUUCUUUAAGUCUGAUGUGAAAGCCCACGGCUCAACCGUGGAGGGUCAUUGGAAACUGGAGAACUUGAGUACAGAAGAGGAAAGCGGAAUUCCACGUGUAGCGGUGAAAUGCGUAGAGAUGUGGAGGAACACCAGUGGCGAAGGCGGCUUUCUGGUCUGUAACUGACGCUGAGGCGCGAAAGCGUGGGGAGCAAACAGGAUUAGAUACCUGGUAGUCCACGCCGUAAACGAUGAGUGCUAAGUGUUAGGGGUUUCCCGCCCCCUUAGUGCUGCAGCUAACGCAUUAAGCACUCCGCCUGGGGAGUACGGCCGCAAGGCUG
rnacentral:rRNA from 1 species